GAUCUAACACGAAUCUCUAUUGGAGAAAUUCACCAGAUAAUUCGGUCCACUCUUGACAAACUAUGUGAGUAUAGAAAGUUGUUUAAAGAAGUCAUAAACAAGAACAAGUCUUUACAGAAAGCCUGUAACAAGUCCUAUUUUCAGAUCAAAUGUAAGGAGAAAGCUUGUGUAUGUAAAAAAAUAAGAAAUUUCAUCAGAAGAAGUAUGUGCACAAGUCAGAGAAAGGCCAACAUUGUGCAAGGAGAAAUUAAAGGAAGUGCAGGAGGUAGAGCAAUUUCCUGCUUAUUUUCCUUUUCUCUUUGUUUUCUCAAAAUUUCCAAAGCCAUUUCAUAAAUUGGUAAAGGAUUAGGUUGUUGUAUUUCUU
rnacentral:misc_RNA from 1 species